UUGAACGCUGGCGACGUGCCUAACACAUGCAAGUCGAGCGGCAGCGCGGGAGCAAUCCUGGCGGCGAGCGGCGAACGGGUGAGUAAUGCUUCGGAAUCUGCCCAUGUAGUGGGGAAUAACUAGCCGAAAGGUUAGCUAAUACCGCAUACGACCCUUGCCGAAAGGCAAUGGUGAAAGCAGGGGAUCGCAAGACCUUGCGCUAUUGGAUGAGCCGAAGUCGGAUUAGCUUGUUGGUGAGGUAACGGCUCACCAAGGCGACAAUCCGUAGCUGGUCUGAGAGGACGACCAGCCACACUGGGACUGAGACACGGCCCAGACUCCUACGGGAGGCAGCAGUGGGGAAUAUUGGACAAUGGGGGCAACCCUGAUCCAGCGACGCCGCGUGUGUGAAGAAGGCCUGCGGGUUGUAAAGCACUUUUAGUGGGGAUGAAAAGCUCGGGGGUUAAUACCUCCGGGUCUUGACCUAA
rnacentral:rRNA from 1 species